ACAUGCAGUCGAGCGCAUGAAAUUAUUAUGAUUCUCUUCGGGUUGACGAUAAUGGAAUGAGCGGCGGACGGGUGAGUAACACGUAGGCAACCUGCCUGUAAGACUGGGAUAACUCGUGGAAACGCGAGCUAAUACCGGAUAACACUUUUCAUCUCCUGAUGAGAAGUUGAAAGGCGGCUUUUGCUGUCACUUACAGAUGGGCCUGCGGCGCAUUAGCUAGUUGGUAAGGUAACGGCUUACCAAGGCGACGAUGCGUAGCCGACCUGAGAGGGUGAUCGGCCACACUGGGACUGAGACACGGCCCAGACUCCUACGGGAGGCAGCAGUAGGGAAUCUUCCGCAAUGGACGAAAGUCUGACGGAGCAACGCCGCGUGAGUGAUGAAGGUUUUCGGAUCGUAAAACUCUGUUGUUAGGGAAGAACAAGUACUAUAGUAACUGAUAGUACCUUGACGGUACCUAACCAGAA
rnacentral:rRNA from 1 species